CAUGACCUAGACUCUUUAGGACUGCCUGGUAUCAUUGAAGCCACUAGAUCAUCACUUACAUCCUGUCUCAGCCCCUUAUGCUUGGUAUAUGGUCUGUUACUCUCUCCACAAGCCACCAAACUUGAGAGCAGAUUCUGCCAAGGACUUCCGCAUCCUGUACCUCCAGAAUCUAUGUUCCCUGCACCAGAAGAAGCUACUCAUUUUUUGGAACUCCUUCUCUAGGGCUCCGCCCUGUUGAUUGGUGAUUAGGACAGCCUGACAGAGAAACGAGGCUAAAAUUCCAGUCAGCAAAGCAGGACAAUCAACAAAAGAAGUCCUGAUUUGUGAUGUUACCGAUUUCUGAAGUACAAAUCCUCACACUGAAAACUCAACAAUUGGCUCCCAAGCGAACUACAGAACAACCGUAGGUUCAGAACAGACUUAUGAAGACCAUAUUGUAUCUGACUAUCAAAUCUUAACUGAUGAUGAUAUCUCUGAAAAAGUUCUACCCUGGAAAGGACGUCGAAAAACUGAAGCAUAAACGGGAAAGAGCACCCACACUGUGGGAUUGCUACAGCUGAGUCCUAUAGCACUCACAUCACUUUGAAGUGAAUUUGAACUUAAUUGGCAAAACAUUGUCUAAAUAAAUGGUGUCAAAUUCAAAUAGAAAUGGGUUUAGGGGCCAUUAAUUUGUAUAUUAAGAUCUCUAAGGGCCACAGUUUUAAAAUGUAAUAUCUGUUUUAUUGUACUUUAUUUGGUUAAAUAUUUCCCAAUUACAUUUUAAUCUAGGGCUGCACUUGGCAAUGUUGGGGGCCUCAUAUGGCCCACAGACCACAUGGGUUGACACCUCCGGUUUAGCUCACCUCUUCAAAAGGUGCUUCUUUGAUAAACUACAACAAUGGAUCUAAUUGUAUAAAAUGAAAUUGUAUAAGACAUAAACAGAGUUUUACAUUUCAAUAAAAAAAUGGACUUCACAAACAAAAUGAGAGAGGCAUGGUCAAACACUAGUUUGUCUGAAAAAGAUCUAGAUGUCCUCAAAGACUGGAAGAUCAGUGCAAGUCAACACUAAUAUGGCAGCCAGCAAAGCUAAUGUGAUCUUAGCCUCCACUGAGAGGCAUACAGUCCAGGAAUAAGAAGGUGAUGGUACAUGCUGCACUCAGCCCUGGUCAGAUCAACUGGAAUACAGUUCAAUUCUUGAUACCACAUUUAAGAGUGUCCAUAGAAGGUAAACUAAAAUGGAGAAAGGCUCUAAGGUUAUACCAAAUGACAAUCAAUCAGUUGAAAGAGGUGGGUGUGGUUGUUUAGAUUGGGGAAGACAAUUUUUUCGUUUGGUUUUACUGGAGCUGUGACUUCUUCAGGCAGAGGGCAGAUCUGUACCUUCCUUGAAACUUAGUCUUAGAAAAUCGGGGGUGGAAGUUGUGGGGGCAGGAGCAAUGAGUGGUUAACUGACUUGCCCACAGUCAAAUAGCCAGUAUGUCAGAGGCACGAUCUGAUUCCAGGUCUUCCUGAGGCCAGUUCUCUAACCACUUUGGAACACUGCCUCUCAAAGAAAACUUGAGGAGGCAUAAUAGCUAGCUAUGACGAAGUAUUUGAAGCCUAUCACAUGGAAGAAGGAUUUACCUUGUUCAGCUUGGCACCAGAAAACAGAACUAGGAGCAUAGGUUUGCCGUAAAGAAAAAUACUGUAAUAACUAGAGUGAUAGAAAAGUAGUAUAGGCUGUUGUAGGAGGCAGAGGGUUCCCCUCACUAAGCAUCUUCAAGCCAAGGGUGGAUGGCUAUUGUUGGAUAUAAUAAAAAGGAAUAUAAUAAUUCAGGUGACAGUUGAACCAGAUGGCCACUGAGGGUCUCUCCUGUCAUGAAAUUCUGUGACUGUGAUUCAGCUCAGAGUUAUGAGUGUCAAAGACCAGUGUUUGAUCACAUCUCAGAGCUACUAAAACUAAUUAGUAUUCUUCCCUGCAAAGUAGUGGUCUCCCCAUAGGUUUAUAAGCCCAAUGUUUAAACCAAUAGAUUUUUACUAAGUUAGUUCAGAAUAAAGCAAAUUAGAAAAACUUUCUUGGUCACCCAAUUUAAAAAUAAAAAAACAAUGCAUUUUUGUUAAAUUUGGAAUUUUUUCACACUUAAUUUAAAAUAAAAACUUUGAUUCCACAGAUAACUGGAUUAGACAAUAAUAAUAGCUAAACUUCAUAAAGUGCUUAUAGGUUUGCAAAGCACUUUACAUGUUAUCUCAUUUGAUCUCACAACAAACUCUGGAGGCAGGUACUACUAUUAUCACCACCUUACAGAGGAGGAAAGAGUUGAGAGCACUUGCCCAGUCAUACUGAUAACAAGCAUCUGCAGCAGGAUUUGAACUCAAGUCUUCCCAACUCCAAGUUUGUCACCCUAAAUAACAGGUACCCAGAACUGAGUUAAUGAUCUUGUAUAGACCCAGUUCAGGUUAUUACACAAAUACCAAAUAAGAUGUGGACCUUCUCUAGGCCCAGAGUAAAUAUUUAAAGACAGGAUACAAUGCAUGAGCCUUUGACUGAGAAGCAACUUUCUAAGGAUUUAGUAUUUCCUUAAUUCUUAUGGGAAUUAUGACACUUACUUACAUAAAUGGGAAACCACACACCUCCCAGAAAAAUGAGAAUCUGUGAAGAACAACCUGUUGUAAGCUUCCUAACACUGCCUAAUAACGAGCUACAGAGAGAUGCCUCAGCAUUUCUAAGUUUUCGCUUUCUGCUCUCUAUGUCAUCUGUUAAUUUUGAAACAAAGUCUGUCUGUCUACGUACCAGGACCUUCUGACCUACUCCAUUUCCAACUUUACCUGGUUCCCCUCUCCUUAGAAAAACCAAGAUGGCCUUUUGUUCCUGAGGGCUCACCAUACUGAUGCUCAACUUAGUGCAGAUGACUGAUUGUACUAACCCAGUCACUGCAAAUCAGAACACCCAAACCCAAGAGGAUCCACCAGCUCAAGCCUCCCUGGUAGCUUGAGAUCCUAGGUGUGAAACAUCACACCCAACAAAAUUUCUUCCCAACUUAUUCACCUUUUCUCUUCCCCUAAAUAUUUCUGUCUCACUUCUAACUAAAACAUUACUAAAUGCAAAUGAUGGCAGAUGAGUUAACUUCACUUUAAAUGCGAUCCCACCAGAGGAAGAGAAGGAGGAAGUAAAGAAGAGGGGAAGAGGGAGAGGAUUCUGGGAAGAUGGCAGAGUAGGUCAGAAAA